rnacentral:lncRNA from 1 species
UUAUUAACAGAUUUAUUGACCCUCUAUGUGCUAGGUACUGUGCUAUGUACUGAGUAUACAAAGGGAAUUGUUUGGGCCUCCUAUGUCCCAGAAUGUCAUGAGAUACUUUUCCAUGUUGUUCAGUCCAUAUGGAAUGUUUUUCUUUCCUUCACCUGGUAAAUCUUCUAUCUUCCAGAUUCAACUUGAUGAUCCUCAACAGUCUUCCGUACCCUCAAAUGGCCCCCACGAAUUUCUGCUUUGUGAACUUUAUUUUCUAUUUUGGCUGAAAAAGGCUACUGUUUGCAUGGUUACUUGCUUAAUAUUAGAAAUCAAGUAGAAACAGUGCUGGUGACCGAGAAGUGAAUGGGCAUGCUCAAAAAUGACUGGUGGCGCAACCAUUGACAUAAACCUUUAAAAAAGCAAAUCCGGCCAGCCAAAGAACCUAGAAGGAAAGGAGGAGAAAGUCUUCUACUCCUGCAGCAGCUUUCCAAGAUCCCACAGAUGGAAGAUAGUAGAGUCAGGUCUUCAACCCAGGGAAUCUAACAUCAGUGUUUGAACACAAAAUCACUAAAUCUCAAUGAUGUGGAUCAAGGCUGCCCCAGGGAGGGAAGCCCAGGGCAUCCUCGGCUACGUGCAGAUCUAUGUGACCCGAUUCAUAUCUAAAGUUAUACGACCACACAAUAACCAGACCCUCACCUGCACUGAUACCAUUUUAAUGACUUUUCACAUCAUCUUUCCUUUAUCUAUUAAAAGUCACUCUUUAGUCGCAAAAAAAGAGAAAAUAUUGACUUUCAUCCUCAUAUUUAGUUGGUGUAUCAAGAAUCACAGGACUUUCUGAUACCAGCGUCAAUGUGGUCAUCUAUCUGGAAGUGUUCCUCCCUCAUUCUCUUUCAACAAGGAUCUUUGGUAUUUGUUUAGCAGUGUGGCGAUAGAAAUCUUCAGGACAUACGGAAGAAAUGGUGAUAGUUUGCUUACAAAAACCAAAUGGAGAGAAUUAACUAUGGAGAAAGCUCAAGACUCUCCUCUUUUAAUUGACUCUCCCUUCUACAAGGAGGAAUUCUAUCCAAGGACAAAAUAAUGUAAGUUUGACAGGAGUGUCCUCUAAGGUAUCUAAUAUUCAUGAAUCUAGACCAGCUAAUAAAUUCUCUUUAUUGUGUAAGCUAGUUUGAAAUUGAU